rnacentral:rRNA from 1 species
UACGUAGGCAGCAAGCGUUGUUCGGAGUUACUGGGCGUAAAGGGUGCGUAGGUGGCUCUAUAAGUAUGGUGUGAAAUCUCCCGGCUUAACUGGGAGGGUGCGCCGUAGACUGUGGGGCUAGAGUGUGGGAGAGGAAAGUGGAAUUCCUGGUGUAGCGGUGAAAUGCGUAGAUAUCAGGAGGAACACCGGUGGUGUAAACGGCUUUCUGGACCAUAACUGACACUGAGGCACGAGAGCGUGGGUAGCAAACAGG